AGUUUUGCACAGUGUCAGUAUCGUAGCCAAUGAGGUCUCUCUGAGGUGUGAUUAUUGCUAAUUAAAAAUGUGACUCAACAGGAGUUUGAAGGUUCUCUAACUGUCCAAUCUUUUUCUCCUGCCUAGAAUGCUUCUGUAUUCUGUCUGCACCUAUGCUAAGCAG
rnacentral:snRNA from 1 species